UACAGAGGUCCCAAGCGUUGUUCGGAUUCACUGGGCGUAAAGGGUGCGUAGGUGGUGAGGUAAGUCGGAUGUGAAAUCUCCGGGCUCAACCCGGAAAUGGCAUUGGAAACUACCUUGCUGGAGGAUUUGAGGGGGGAUUGGAAUACUUGGUGUAGCAGUGAAAUGCGUAGAUAUCAAGUGGAACACCAGUGGCGAAGGCGAAUCCCUGGAAAAUACCUGACACUGAGGCACGAAAGCGUGGGGAGCGAACAGG
rnacentral:rRNA from 1 species